rnacentral:tRNA from 1 species
GCCGGGGUGGCGGAAUUGGCAGACGCGCCGGUCUCAAAAACCGGUCCCGCUCGCGGGAUGCGGGUUCGACUCCCGCCUCCGGCA